rnacentral:misc_RNA from 1 species
AACCAUUCUCACCUGCGGCUAGACCUGCGGAAGGAUCAUUACAAGUGACCCCGGUCUAACCACCGGGAUGUUCAUAACCCUUUGUUGUCCGACUCUGUUGCCUCCGGGGCGACCCUGCCUUCGGGCGGGGGCUCCGGGUGGACACUUCAAACUCUUGCGUGACUUUGCAGUCUGAGUAAACUUAAUUAAUAAAUUAAAACUUUCAACAACGGAUCU